rnacentral:rRNA from 1 species
AUUUGCUUGUUCCUUUAUCUAUUUAUGCUGCCUUGAAUUUAUUAUAAGUGUUAAACCUCUGAAGCAAAAGAAAAUCGGGCAAAGGCUGAGCCAAGUGGGGACUUGAUGGUUGCACAGCGGGCAAUGUUUUCGGCGAACAGAAAAUUCCCACGUGAAACUUACCAUGGUGGUGAUGGGUGACAGAGAAUUAGGGUUCGAUUCUGGAGAGGGAACCAAAGAAACGGCUAGCAAAUCAAAGGAACGCAGAAGGUACGCAUAUCAACCAAUCGUAACAAAGGGAGGUAGUGAGAAUAAAUAUCAAUACUGGGCUCUAUGACUUUGGUAAUUGGAAUAAGUACAAUCUAAAUCCCUUAAACAUGAUUCAUUGGAGGGCAAGUCUGGUGCCAACAACCGCGGUAAUUCCAGCUCCAAUAGCAUAUAUUUAAGUUGUUGCAAUUAAAAAGCUCGUAGUUGGACUUUGGGAUGGGCCGGCCGGUCCGCCUUAGGUGUGCACCGGUCGUCUCAUCCUUUUUGCCAAAGAUGCACUCCUAGCCUUAAUUGGCCGAGUUGUACCUCAGGCGCUUUUACUUUGAAGAAAUUAGAGUGCUCAAAGCAAGCCUAUGCUCUGUAUGCAUUAGCACGGGAUAACAUUAUAUGAUUUCGGUCCUAGUACGUUGGCCUUCGGGAUCAGAUUAAUGAUUAACAAAGACAGUCGGGGGUAUUCGUAUUUCAUAUUCAGAGGUGAAAUUCUUGGAUUUAUGAAAGAAGAACAACUGCGAAAGUAUUUGCCAAGGAUAUUUUCAUUAAUCAAAAAUAAAAUUGGGGGAUCAAAGACAAUUAGAUACCGUGCUAGUCUCAACCAUAAACAAUGCCGACUAGGGAUUAGUGGAUGUUGCUUUUAGGACUCCGCCGAGAAAUCAAAGUUUUUAGGUUCUGGGGGGAGUAUGGUCUUAAGGCUAAAACUUAAAGGAAUUGAUGAAAGGGCACCACCAGGAGUGGAGCCUGUGGCUUAAUUUGACUCAACAGGGGGAAACUUACAAGGUCCAGACAUAUUAAUAAUAGACAGACUGAGAGCUCUUUCUUGAUUCUAUGGGGGUGAUGCAUGGUCCUUUUUAGUGGUGAAGCGAUUUGUCUGGUUAAUUUCGUUAACGAAUCAGACCUCAGCCUGAUAACUAGCUAUGCAGAGGUAUUGCUUCGCGGCCAGCUUCUUAGAGGGAAUACAAACUUUUAGGCUGCGGAAGUUUGAGGCAAUAAUAAGUCUGUGAUGCCCUUAGAUAUUCUGGGCCUCAAGCGCACUACACUGAUGUAUUCAACGAGUUUUUAUCCUUGGCUGAUAGGCCCGAGUAAUCUUUGAAAUUUCAUCCUGAUGGGGAAAGAUCAUUGCAAUUGUUGGCGUUCAAUGAGGAAUUCAUAGUAACCGUGAUUCAUCAACUCGCGUUGACUAUGUCCCUACCCUUUAUAACACCGCCCGUCGCUCCUACAAAUUUAAUGAUCCGGUGAAAUGUUCGGAUCGCAGUGACGUAGAUGUUCGCUGCCCUCGACAUCACGAAAAGUCUAUUGAACCGUAUCAUUUAGAGGAAGGAGAAGUCAUAACAAGGCUUCCAUAGGUGAACCUGCGGAAG